UNCAUAGCAAGUUUAAGGUCAGCCUAUGAU
rnacentral:piRNA from 1 species